rnacentral:lncRNA from 1 species
GAUAGUACCAUUUGGUUCAUUAUCAUUGUCACAAAGAAUCUAUAGGUACUCUUUGGAAUAACCUGAACCAAACAUCUCUACCAAAGAGGCAAGAAAGCACAAGAUGGUUUAUGAAUUCCACAGCUUGGUCACUAUGAGGACACUUCUCUAGAUGAGGGAGCCGGACACAUGAAUAAUUCUCACCGGGAAGUUGCGAUCCAAGCGUUCUUUGCUUGUCCACUAUACCAUGUCGCCUGCUCGUGUGGCUGAUUUCUGGUUGAGGGAGGGCUGCCGUGCGUCCUCCACUACACUUAGCUGCCUCAUUCUUCCACGACCAAUCUCCUCCAUCCUCUCAGCCACUAAGCCGCCUGUUAUUCUCACCAAACUUGUAUGACUGAC